ensembl:lncRNA
AGUGGUGUAGUGGUCAUCAGGUGGAGAGUAAGGAGCUGUCAGAGCUGGAGUCUCUUACAAGUCACCUGAAGAUGAAUGCUGAGGGAAGGUGCUCACCGGCUUCAGAAGAGGGAGGCGCCUGGGCUCUGCAGCAGGAAGGUCGGCGCUCACCCUCGGGGGACUCGCCUCUUCUGUCUCCAUAGCUUGUGAAGGGGGCCUGCAGCCCCAUUGUGUGACGUUGUUUUAGACGACCUGCUGUUACCUGCAGAAGAACAACCAGAAACUGUCCCGAAAUGUCUCGAGUAGCUGUCAGCAUCCUGGGCCUUCUCCGUGUCCACAUCCUCCCGCUCAAUGGCUCUCGCCUUGGUGCACCGUCUCCGGGGUGAAACCCUUCACUCUUCCUCCGAGCUCCUCGCGUUCUGCAGUUUGGUCACAGAGUCGAAGUUCCCACCCUCAGUGGGCAACUUUCAGAUUCCUGGCAAGAAACUGACAAACUCAAGCUGAGUCAUUGAAGAAAGUUGAAUAAGGAAGUCCCUUGAGAGUCCCUUGGAUUGCAAGGAGAUCCAACCAGUCCAUCCUAAAGGAAAUCAGUCCUGAAUAUUCAUUGGAAGGCUGGACACUGAAGCUGAAACCCCAAUACUUUGGCCACCUGAUGCAAAGAACUGACUCAUUGGAAAAGACCCUG